ensembl:lncRNA
CUGCCCCUUUCUCCUUCCUCCCUCUCCCCAUCCCUCUCUCUUUCCCCUCCCCUCUCUGUCUCUUUCCCUCCCCUCACACACUCUUGCCUUGUUCAGUCAUUCAGAGCCCAGUGUGGAGGCUGAUCACUCACACCCAAACUCACAUGCACACGCUCUCUCUUCUGUGCAGCAUGUCCAGGCUUCCCCAUCUGACUGUCUGCCUGUUUGGAGCCCUGCUGCUUAUGUCUCUCUGCCGGGCUGAGACGGAGAAAGAGAAUGACUUUGAGGAACCUGACACCACGCCAGACUACGACUAUCCACCCACCUUUGACUAUACCUUUUUCAGCAACGCGAGCAUUGAUGACCUAGACAGGUUCCUCUUGGAGGCAGGAGACACAGGAGAUGUGGAGUUGGACACAGACACCACUCCAUCAGAGGAGGAAAUGGGGGGAGAGGAGGAAUCUGUCGAUGAGGAGGAGGAGGAGGAAGAGACGGUGGAAAUAGAGGUUGGAGAGGAGGAGGUGACGAUCACCAAACCCCCAACCCACCGCAGAGCCCCCACAGCUGAGGCUUGCAGGACUACACCUCUCUGUCUAGUCACCGCUCUGGGGCUAAUCGCACACCAGUUGGCCAGGCUGCUAUGAUGAAUUUGACCAUGACACAGACUGAACACACACACUAAAAUGAUCCUUGAGAAGAGAGAUUAGCACGGAGGGACUCACAGUCACACAUCGUCACACAUAUAUUUUGGAGCACAGGAAGUGAUGUUCCUGUUGUUCCCGAAGCACCAACUGAAUCUCACACCCCAACCUUGACAACGCACACACAAGCACAAAGCCAGUCCACUCUGCACAUACUACCCCAUUCAAAUCCCAACCAAUUAAUCGUAGAAAAAUCACUUUGUCCACUCAUAACACCACACGUCCUUCAUCCCCACUGAUGUUUGCUUUUUUGGGUCAAGGCACUCCAUGAGUUCACAGCGCUCUGUGCCCAUGGACAAGCAUCGUCUGACUUGGUGGACAGCAGCGUGAGUUAAUUAAAGAGCCCUGUGGAGCAGACUGAGGUGCUGAAGAGGUGACUGGGCAGCUGGAGCAAAAACAGCCCUGGUGACGCCACCAGGCCAGGGACCAGCACAACCUGUGGCGGAGGGUGGGGGUGGGGGGUCGGCGGGUUGUGGUAAAGACUCUUCAUUUCCUGUCCUCUGAUCAGCGAUCUAAAGCAUUUCUGCCAUCAGAUGCUUGCUUCUGCCUCGUGCUUCUGCGUGAGAUCGUGGAAAGGAUACAUACUGGUUUGUUACUGGAUGCAGCCCAGCAAGACUGUCUCCCUGUUGCUCUCUUUUGUGCACAAGUAUCAACCUGUCCAGAAGCCAAGAGAUAUGUGUGUGUGUGUGGGUGUGUGUCUCUCUGUGUGUGUGUGUGUUUGUGUGUGUGGAUGUGUCUCUCUCUCUGUGUGUGUGUGUGUGUGUGUGUGUGUGUGUGUGUGUGUGUGUGUGUGUGUGUGUUUUAGCCUCAAUAUCGGCUCACAGACACAUAUCUGACAAUCAAACAAUUUGUACUCAUAGCUGUUCACGUAGCAUUACUGGAAAAGAUUAUCUGUAAACACAAGGGCUCCACAACCCUCCUUUCAACAAACACCAUUGCACUUCUAUGUAUCUCCUGUCUUUGCCUACCCUUUGAAGUUGCUGUUUUUAUAAGAAUUUUGAAAGUGUUUUGUCAACAGUGUAUAAAUGUAUAAUACGACUGUGAGAAUGUUUUUUUACAAAGGGUGGCAGUCUUUUACAGCCAAAUGCACGUUUUUUUUUUUUUUUUACGACAGAUCGUUAUGAAAGGUUAUUCCAUGUAUAUUGUUGUUUAUAUUAUUGAAUGAAUGCUCAAAUAAAUAUUUUCACAUGAGUUUGGUCGCCUGUUCA